GACGAACGCUGGCGGCGUGCCUAAUACAUGCAAGUAGAACGAGUGGCGGACGGGUGAGUAAUGUCUGGGAACCUGCCCGAUGGAGGGGGAUAACUACUGGAAACGGUAGCUAAUACCGCAUACCAUCGGAUGUUCCCAAAUGGGAUUAGCUGGUAGGUUGGGUAACGGCUCACAUAGGCGACGAUCCCUAGCUUGUCUGAGAGGAUGACCAGCCACACUGGAACUGGGACACGGUCCAGACUCCUACGGGAGGCAGCAGUGGGGAAUAUUGCGCAAUGGGCGCAAGCCUGAUGCAGCCAUGCCGCGUGUAUGAAGAAGGCCUUGGGGUUGUAAAGUACUUUCAGCGGGGAGGCGUUACUCGCAGAAGAAGCACCGGCUAACUCCGUGCCAGCAGCCGCGGUAAUAC
rnacentral:rRNA from 1 species